GGGCGUAUAGUGUAGUUGGAUAUCACUUUGGCCUUCUAAGCCGACAACAUGGGUUCGAAUCCUGUUACGCCCGCCA
rnacentral:tRNA from 1 species